GUAGUAAUAUCCUUUCAUCCUCUUCUUCAUCUCCAGAAUAAUUCUAUCGUAAUGCAACACCUUCAGGAUUCCUCCACCAGCUAUCAUCCUAUAGCCUCUCGAAUCUAGUCUGCUUAGUGAGAUAAGAUUCUGCCUAAAAUUGGGUAUGUAUCAAACCUCUCCCAAUCUCCUCAUUACACCAUCAUGUGUCCUCCAUCUAACCAUCCUGAUACCUCUGAUCACACAGCUUGAUCUAUUCGACAGAUAAACAGUACCCUCACUGCUCUCCAAGGAGUCAAACUGCUCCUCUCUACAACAUACAUGAUAGGUGCAUGCAGAAUCUAAAAUUCACUACUGAAAAAAAGUAGAUACCUCAUCAGAUAUCUUUAGGACAUUAUCAUCUGACUCGCUACUAGCCGUCACUGC
rnacentral:lncRNA from 1 species